UGGGGAAUAUUGGGCAAUGGGCGCAAGCCUGACCCAGCAACGCCGCGUGAGGGAAGAAGGUUUUCGGAUUGUAAACCUCUGUCGCAGAAGACGAAGGAAGUGACGGUAAUCUGUGAGGAAGCCCCGGCUAACUACGUGCCAGCAGCCGCGGUAAUACGUAGGGGGCGAGCGUUGUUCGGAAUCAUUGGGCGUAAAGGGUGCGCAGGUGGCCGAUCAAGUCUGGCGUGAAAGUGCGGGGCUCAACUCCGUGAUGCGCUGGAAACUGGCCGGCUAGAGUACAGCAGGGGGCGUCGGAAUUCCAGGUGUAGGGGUGAAAUCUGUAGAUAUCUGGAAGAACACCGGUGGCGAAGGCGGACGCCUGGGCAUGUACUGACACUGAGGCACGAAGGUGCGGGGAGCAAACAGGUUUAGA
rnacentral:rRNA from 1 species